UACGUUGGGUGCAAGCGUUAAUCGGAAUUACUGGGCGUAAAGCGUGCGCAGGCGGUUUUGUAAGUCUGACGUGAAAUCCCCGGGCUCAACCUGGGAAUUGCGUUGGAGACUGCAAGGCUAGAAUCUGGCAGAGGGGGGUAGAAUUCCACGUGUAGCAGUGAAAUGCGUAGAUAUGUGGAGGAACACCGAUGGCGAAGGCAGCCCCCUGGGUCAAGAUUGACGCUCAUGCACGAAAGCGUGGGGAGCAAACAGG
rnacentral:rRNA from 1 species